rnacentral:rRNA from 1 species
GAUGAACGCUGGCGGCGUGCCUAAUACAUGCAAGUCGAGCGAACAGACGAGGAGCUUGCUCCUCUGACGUUAGCGGCGGACGGGUGAGUAACACGUGGAUAACCUACCUAUAAGACUGGGAUAACUUCGGGAAACCGGAGCUAAUACCGGAUAAUAUAUUGAACCGCAUGGUUCAAUAGUGAAAGACGGUUUUGCUGUCACUUAUAGAUGGAUCCGCGCCGCAUUAGCUAGUUGGUAAGGUAACGGCUUACCAAGGCAACGAUGCGUAGCCGACCUGAGAGGGUGAUCGGCCACACUGGAGCUGAGACACGGUCCAGACUCCUACGGGAGGCAGCAGUAGGGAAUCUACCGCAGAGGGCGAAAGCCUGACGGAGCAACGCCGCGUGAGUGAUGAAGGUCUUCGGAUCGUAAAACUCUGUUAUUAGGGAAGAACAAAUGUGUAAGUAACUAUGCACGUUUUGACGGUACCUAAUCAGAAAGCCACGGCUAACUACGU